UACGUAGGGUGCAAGCGUUAAUCGGAAUUACUGGGCGUAAAGCGUGCGCAGGCGGUUGUGCAAGACCGAUGUGAAAUCCCCGGGCUUAACCUGGGAAUGGCAUUGGUGACUGCACGGCUAGAGUGUGUCAGAGGGGGGUAGAAUUCCGCGUGUAGCAGUGAAAUGCGUAGAGAUGUGGAGGAAUACCGAUGGCGAAGGCAGCCUCCUGGGCCAACACUGACGCUCAUGCACGAAAGCGUGGGGAGCAAACAGG
rnacentral:rRNA from 1 species